CUCCUCCAGAGCACGCACCUUGUCCAGAUCCCACGCUGGGCCUGGCAGCUCCAUUCAUCCAGCUGAGCUGGGGGAGAGCACCGGUCAUGGGCCCACUCAGGCACGCAUGGAGAGCCUGGUGUGUGUUGUACGGUUCUGUGAGCAGGGAUGACGGGGGCGUUAUUCCUGCCACCAGUCCUCAGGUGAGGGAGCUGGGAUCCAGGGAGGAUAAGUGGGCUUCCCAAGACACCAGGCACUGGAAGCUGAGAUGUGAACCUGCCUGCCUGUUCUCCUUGCCUAAGCCUGUUCUGUCAUCCUGAGCCCUCUCUCUGUGCAUCUCAAAUUUAUAUCAUUUUCUUGAUCAGAGGGGACAGAGGGGUAACCAGAGACAGGUGGAGAUUCACUCAAAGUCACUCUGCUUUAAGCUGCAGAGCUGCAACUAGAACCCAGACCUCAGCCCUCUCCAGGCUCCCACCAUGCCUGCAGGUGAGGCCAGUAUACCCAACUCUCACCCACCUCCCCACGAUCACUGGCAUGAGGUCUGCCCAGGGUGGGCGUGGCCUUGGCCUGAGAGGCUGGUGCAGCACCGAGGACUGGAGGGAGGAGGAGGGAUCUGGGCACCAAGACGGGGCCUCCUCAGGGUGCCGUGGGGCAUCCCUUGGUGCUGGCCACUGGCCUUGCUCUGCAGUGCCUCUGUUGAGGUGAGGAGCCCAGAGACAGCCUGCCUCUGCCUGGGCUCCACUGGGGCAGGCAAUUCCUUGUCUCAGCAGAACCAGGGUUUUGUCGCUGCUACAUCUCCCCUGGUCACUCUGGGAUCAGAGGUAAGAGCAGAAUGGAUGCACAUGCAUUCAGAGCCAAACCUCAGAGAGGGAACCCGACACUCCCCACCUGAAGGGGUGGCCUGCCCCUCCACAACUGUGGGUGUUUCUCGUGGGGUGGGAUGAGAGACUGAGAAAAGAAAGAGACACAGAGACAAAGUAUAGAGAAAGAAAAAUGGGCCCAGGGGACUGGCGCUCAGCAUACAGAGGACCCACGCUGGCCCCAGUCUCCGAGUUCCCUCAGUAUUUAUUGAUCAUUAUCUCUACCAUCUCUACCAUCUCCCAGAGGGGGAUGUGGCAGGACAAUAGGGUAAUAGUGGGGAGAGGGCCAGCAGGAAAAUGUGAACAAAUGUCUCUGUGUCAUAAACAAGGUUAAGGAAAAGGUGCUGUGCUUUGAUGUGCACAUACAUAAACAUCUCGGUGCAUUAAAGAGCAGUGUUACCGCCAGCAUGUCUCACCUCCAGCCCUAAGGCGGUUUUCUCCUAUCUCAGUAGAUGGAAUAUACAAUCGGGUUUUACACCGAGACAUUCCAUUGCCCAGGGAUGAGCAGGAGACAGAUGCCUUCCUCUUAUCUCAACUGCAAAGAGGCCUUCCUCUUUUACUAAUCCUCCUCAGCACAGACCCUUUACGGGUGUCGGGCUGGGGGACGGUCAGGUCUUUCACUUCCCAUGAGGCCAUAUUUCAGACUAUCACAUGGGGAGAAACCUGGCUUUCCUAGGCAGAGGUCCCUGCGGCCUUCCUUCCGCAGUGUUUUGUGUCCCUGGGUACUUGAGAUUAGGGAGUGGUGAUGACUUUUAACAAGCUAGCUGCCUUCAAGCAUUUGUUUAACAAAGCACAUCCUGCAUAGCCCUAAAUCCAUUAAACCUUGAGUCGACACAGGGCAUGUUUCUGCGAGCACAGGGUUGGGGUAGGGUUACAGAUUAACAGCAUCUCAAGGCAGAAGAAUUUUUCUUAGUACAGAACAAAAUGGAGUCUCUCAUGUCUACUUCUUUCUAUAUAGACACAGUCCGUAUAGAAAGAGACACUGAUCUC
rnacentral:lncRNA from 10 species